rnacentral:tRNA from 1 species
GCUGAAGUGGUGGAACUGGUAGACACGCUGUCUUGAGGGGGCAGUGGGAUCACUCUCGUGCGGGUUCGAGUCCCGCCUUCAGCA